CUGUCACUCCAAUGUUUUUUCAUGGUAAGAAGGAAGAACGUUAUUUAGGUGAUGCUCCAGAGAUGAAGUGUUCUCCAGGCUUCGUGACUGUGGCACUCUUAAUGCUUGGACAAACCCAUGGAGACUCAGUGACUCAGACAGAGGGCCAAGUGACCCUCUCAGAAGAGGCUUUCCUGACGAUAAACUGUACCUAUUCAACAACUGGUUACCCUACUCUUUUGUGGUAUGUCCAGUAUCCGGGAGAAGGUCUAGAGCUCCUCCUGAAAGCCUCGAGGGACAAGGAGAAGGGAAGCAAGAAAGGAUUUGAAGCCACCUAUGGCAGAGAUUCUAAAUCCUUCCACUUGGAGAAAGGCUCAGUGCAAGCGUCAGAUUCAGCUGUGUAUUACUGUGCCAUGAAUGACACAGUGACGGGGACUGCAGGGGGAGCUGAGCACAAACUCUGA